UAAGCAUAUCAAUAAGCGGAGGAAAAGAAACCAACAGGGAUUGCCUCAGUAACGGCGAGUGAAGCGGCAAAAGCUCAAAUUUGAAAUCUGGCUCUUUCAGGGUCCGAGUUGUAAUUUGUAGAAGAUGUUUCGGGUGUGGUCCCAGUCUAAGUUCCCUGGAACUGGACAUCACAGAGGGUGAGAAUCCCGUAUGUGACUGGGUACCUACGUCCAUGUGAAACUCUUUCGACGAGUCGAGUUGUUUGGGAAUGCAGCUCAAAAUGGGUGGUAAAUUUCAUCUAAAGCUAAAUAUUGGCCAGAGACCGAUAGCGCACAAGUAGAGUGAUCGAAAGAUGAAAAGCACUUUGGAAAGAGAGUUAAACAGUACGUGAAAUUGUUGAAAGGGAAGGGCAUGCAAUCAGACUUGCGCCUAGUUGAUCAUCCGGGCUUUUGCCCGGUGCACUCGAUUAGGCUCAGGCCAGCAUCAGUUUAGAGGGUUGGAUAAAGGCCUUGGGAAUGUGGCCCCUCUCGGGGGGUGUUAUAGCCCAAGGUGCAAUGCAGCCACUCUGGACUGAGGACCGCGCUUCGGCUAGGAUGCUGGCGUAAUGGUUGUAUGCCGCCCGUCUUGAAACACGGACCAAGGAGUCUAACAUCUAUGCGAGUAUUUGGGUGUUAAACCCAUAUGCGUAAUGAAAGUGAACGGAGGUGAGAGCCCUUAAGGGUGCAUCAUCGACCGAUCCUGAUGUCUUCGGAUGGAUUUGAGUAAGAGCAUAGCUGUUGGGACCCGAAAGAUGGUGAACUAUGCGUGAAUAGGGUGAAGCCAGAGGAAACUCUGGUGGAGGCUCGCAGCGGUUCUGACGUGCAAAUCGAUCGUCAAAUUUGCGUAUAGGGGCGAAAGACUAAUCGAACCAUCUAGUAGCUGGUUCCUGCCGAAGUUUCCCUCAGGAA
rnacentral:rRNA from 1 species